CAGAAGGGGUGAGGAGGGGGUUGCUAGCCACCCUUGCCCUCCUCCACCUGCCAGCAAGAGGGGUCGCCCCACUUGUCCCUGAGAGCUUUUAGAGCCAGCCAACUCCUGUCUCUGCUGAUCUCUUCAUCCCUGGCCGUAUGCCCCUUAAAUAAAGCCCUGCAUCCAGGGCAAUCCUGACGCUUCCCCUCUGGCCCCUCCCCCAUGGGUCAAGCUGUCUCUCCAGCUGUUGCCUUGGCAGCCUCUAGGGCAGCCGUUGCCCUAAUCCCACCCUCCACUUCUGGCGCCGCCAUGGCAGGUGGGUGGGAGGUAGCUCUCCCAUCAUCGCCACCGUGUGCUAGCCUUCCGACCCUUUCCAGCCCAGCCCUGGACAGUUGACUCCCUGGUCUCUGCCUGUGGCCUGCCAGCUCCUGCUGAGGUUUGACACCCUGUGGCUUCCCUUUCUGCCAUUGAGCAGCCCAGUGAGUGCUCCCCCCAGGAGCCGACGGGAGGGCCCGAAGCCAGUAAACAUCCAGACUGGAGCAUGCAAAGAACCAGGUCUUUAAAAUGCCUUCCUUUCCUGAGAGAAGGCCUGUGAUUGUUUGAGCAACUGCUCUGUCAAAUUCUGAGAUGAUGAGCCCUGCUGGGAUAGGAAACCAUUUCCUCACUCCUUUUGCUACGGAAACGGCUCUGAAAGAUUUUUCGUGUCAUUGAAAAAUGAAAUAUAAAUACUCUUUUAUAUUUCCAAAUGAAAGUACUUGAAAAUCUGACUGCCUGACUUUAGAAUAUAAGAUUUCAAUCUGAACGUUGGAAAGGAAUGGUGAAAUGCUGUUAUAUAUUGGGACUCGUCCCCUUAGCUUCUUGAACCUUGCUUCUGGAAAAUGUUUAUUAAGAAUUAUUUUUUCAGUAAGAAAUAAAAUAGAUACACUGUGCAA